rnacentral:rRNA from 1 species
UACGAAGGGGGCUAGCGUUGCUCGGAAUCACUUGGGCGUAAAGGGUGCGUAGGCGGGUUAUUAAGUCAGAGGUGAAAUCCUGGAGCUCAACUCCAGAACUGCCUUUGAUACUGAUAGUCUUGAGUAUGGGAGAGGUGAGUGGAACUGCGAGUGUAGAGGUGAAAAUUCGUAGAUAUUCGCAAGAACACCAGUGGCGAAGGCGGCUCACUGGCCCAUUACUGACGCUGAGGCACGAAAGCGUGGGGAGCAAACAGG